rnacentral:rRNA from 1 species
CAGUAGCCACGGGAAUACGAAGGGUGCAAGCGUUACUCGGAAUUACUGGGCGUAAAGCGUGCGUAGGUGGUGGUUUAAGUCCGUUGUGAAAGCCCUGGGCUCAACCUGGGAAUUGCAGUGGAUACUGGGUCACUAGAGUGUGGUAGAGGAUAGUGGAAUUUCCGGUGUAGCAGUGAAAUGCGUAGAGAUCGGAAGGAACAUCUGUGGCGAAGGCGACUAUCUGGGCCAACACUGACACUGAGGCACGAAAGCGUGGGGAGCAAACAGGAUUAGAUACCCCCGUAGUCCCUGUCUCUUAUAC